GUAAGGACCUCCUCCUGUUACCUUCGGGCUGUCCUGAUCCUAAUUCCACGGCUGGGGUUCUCUGACUGUUCUAGUUGAGUUGAAUUUUUUGUUCAGCUAACUCUGAGAUCUUGUCCUUUAAGUACUCAGACUCUGGAAAUAUAUCCAUCGCUUUUUCUGUCUUAGAAAAGUUUGUUUGUUUAUUUAUUUAUUUAUAUUAUGAAAGCUGUGUGUGGUUCUAGCCCAUUCUUAUCCAUUCCCCCCCAUGGUGGAAAUAUUAUCUUUUUCUUGGAAUGAGCUCUGUGCCCAGGAACACAGCAGCUAAUGUUUACUGAGUACUCAGCUGAGGGCUAAUCCUUUUACAGAACCUCCGUGUUUAACCCUCACAACAAUCCUGUGAAGGGUGACGUGCAGACCAGUAAAAAGAUGAAACUCUUCCUUCCUAUAAUACUCGGCUCCGUGCCUAUUUUGUGACUAACUAUGCUGGCCUUUUCUGCCCCAGAACUCUUCAGGGCUGUAUAUAACCUACUGAUGUCCUGCAUAGUGUGGUCAUGAGCUCUAGCCCCACCCAGCCUAAUGGUAUCAGAGCUUUGUUUAGCCCGCUGAGCUGGUCCCAACCAUCUGUUAAUGCUGCUUGUCCCCUCACUUCACAGGGAAGAGUAUGGAAAGCUGUUUGAUUUUGUCAAUGCAAAAAAGCUCAACAUCAAGAACAGAGGGCUGAAAGAGGGCAUUAACCCAGGUUAUGAUGAUUACGCUGACUCUGAUGAAGACCAGCAUGAUGCCUAUUUGGAGAGGAUGAAGGAGGAGGGCAAGAUCCGGGAGGAGAAUGCCAAUGACAGCAGUGACGACUCAGGAGAAGAAACUGAUGAGUCCUUCAAUCCUGGUGAAGAAGAAGAAGAUGUGGCAGAGGAGUUUGAUAGCAAUGCCUCUGCCAGCUCCUCCAGUAAUGAGGGCGACAGCGACCGAGAAGAGAAGAAGCGGAAACAGCUCAAAAGAGCCAAGAUGGCCAAGGAUCGGAAGAGCCGCAAGAAGUCUUCAGAGGGGAAGAAGGGUAAGGAUCCAAAUGCCCCCAAGAGGCCUAUGUCUGCGUACAUGUUGUGGCUUAAUGCAAGCCGAGAGAAGAUCAAGUCAGAUCACCCUGGCAUCAGCAUCACAGAUCUUUCCAAGAAGGCAGGCGAAAUCUGGAAGGGAAUGUCCAAAGAGAAGAAAGAGGAGUGGGACCGCAAGGCCGAGGAUGCUAGGAGGGAGUAUGAGAAAGCCAUGAAAGAGUAUGAAGGAGGACGAGGGGACUCGUCUAAAAGGGACAAGUCUAAGAAGAAAAAGAAAGUAAAAGCAAAGUUGGAAAAGAAAUCCACUCCUUCCCGGGGCUCAUCAUCCAAGUCUUCAUCCAGGCAGUUGAGCGACAGCUUCAAGAGCAAAGAGUUUGUGUCCAGUGACGAGAGCUCUUCAGGCGAGAACAAGAGCAAAAAGAAGAGGAGGCGGAGCGAGGUUGGGCAAGGAUAUGGGGGCUUAGAGCUAUGUGUGCCUGGGGGUGGGUAAGGCCCAGUUGUGGUUGGUGUGUGAGAGUAAUGAGUUAGAGAAGACCGGUGGACUUCUGAGGUUUUGGUGAGUCCAGGAGUUGUAGGAAGAACUAGGCGUUAGGAACCCUUUACCAUUAAGUGGCUGGGAAGGUAGCUGGCACUCGACACAUUUAUCCUAAGAGAACUUUGGUUUUCAG
rnacentral:lncRNA from 1 species